ensembl:rRNA 5S_rRNA 5S ribosomal RNA
GCUUACGGCCGUACCACCCUGAGAACGCCCGAUCUCGUCUGAUCUCGGAAACUAAGCAGGGUCGGGCCUGGUUAGUACUUGGAUGGGAGACCGCCUGGGAAUACCAGGUGCUGUAAGCU